GACGAACGCUGGCGGCGUGCUUAACACAUGCAAGUCGAACGGAAAGGCCUUGCUUUUGUGGGGUGCUCGAGUGGCGAACGGGUGAGUAACACGUGAGUAACCUGCCCUCGACUUUGGGAUAACUUCAGUAAACUGGGGCUAAUACCGGAUAGGAGCUCCUGCUGCAUGGUGGGGGUUGGAAAGUUUCGGCGGUUGGGGAUGGACUCGCGGCUUAUCAGCUUGUUGGUGGGGUAGUGGCUUACCAAGGCUUUGACGGGUAGCCGGCGUGAGAGGGUGACCGGCAACAUUGGGACUGAGAUACGGCCCAGACUACUACGGGAGGAAGCAGUGGGGAAUAUUGCACAAUGGGCGGAAGAAUGAUGAAGCAACGACGCGUGCGGGAUGAAGGACUUCGGGUUGUAAACCGCUUUCGCCUGUGACGAAGCGUGAGUGACGGUAAUGGGUAAAGAAGCACCGGCUAACUACGUG
rnacentral:rRNA from 1 species